GGCAGUAGAGCUCAUUGGUAGAGCACGGGCUUGGCGUACAAGAGGUCCUGGGUUCAAUCCCCAGUGCCUCCG
rnacentral:tRNA from 1 species